GCGAGUCAUUGCAGCAAUACAAGGCAGACCGGCUCAGUAACGCGUAGUCAACCUACCCUAUGGACGGGAAUAACCUCGGGAAACUGAGUAUAAUGCCCGAUAGAACAUUAUGCCUGGAAUGGUUUAUGUUCCAAAUGAUUUAUCGCCGUAGGAUGGGACUGCGGCCUAUCAGUUUGUUGGUGAGGUAAUGGCCCACCAAGACUAUUACAGGUACGGGCUCUGAGAGGAGUGGCCCGGAGAUGGGUACUGAGACACGGACCCAGGCCCUAUGGGGCGCAGCAGGCGAGAAAACUUUGCAAUGUGCGAAAGCACGACAAGGUUAAUCCGAGUGGUUUCUGCUAAAGGAACCUUUUGACAGUCCUAGAAACACUGUUGAGUAAGGGGUGGGCAAGUUCUGGUGUCAGCCGCCGCGGUAAAACCAGCACCUCAAGUGGUCAAGAUGAUUAUUGGGCCUAAAGCAUCCGUAGCCGGCUCUGUUAGUUUUCGGUUAAAUCUGUACGCUCAACGUACAGGCUGCCGGGAAUACUGCAGAGCUAGGGAGUGGGAGAGGUAGACGGUACUCGGUAGGAAGGGGUAAAAUCCUUUGACCUAUCGAUGACCACCUGUGGCGAAGGCGGUCUACCAGAACACGUCCGACGGUGAGGGAUGAAAGCUGGGGGAGCAAACCGGAUUAGAUACCCGGGUAGUCCCAGCUGUAAACUAUGCAAACUCAGUGAUGCAUUGGCUUGUGGCCAAUGCAGUGUUGCAGGGAAGCCGUUAAGUUUGCCGCCUGGGAAGUACGUACGCAAGUAUGAAACUUAAAGGAAUUGGCGGGGGAGCACCACAAGGGGUGAAGCCUGCGGUUCAAUUGGAGUCAACGCCGGA
rnacentral:rRNA from 1 species